rnacentral:rRNA from 1 species
GACGAACGCUGGCGGCGUGCUUAACACAUGCAAGUCGAACGCUGAAGCCUGGUGCUUGUACUGGGCGGAUGAGUGGAGAACGGGUGAGACAUACGAGAGUCACCUGCCCUAGACUCUGGGAUCAGCAUGGAACACUGGCUCUUAUACUGGAUACGACCUGUCUCCGUAUGGUGGUGUGUGGAAAGGCUUUUGGUGGUUUUGGAUGGGCUCGCGGCCUAUCAGCUUGUUGGUGGGGUAGUGGCUCACCAAGGCGCCGACGGGUAGCCGGCCUGAGAGGGUGACCGGCCACACUGGGACUGAGACACGGCCCAGACUCCUACGGGAGGCAGCAGUGGGGAAUAUUGCACAAUGGGCGGAAGCCUGAUGCAGCGACGCCGCGUGAGGGAUGACGGCCUUCGGGUUGUAAACCGCUUUCGGCUCGGAAGAAGCGUAAGUGACGGUACUUGCAGAAGAAGCGCCGGCUAACUACGUG